GUAGCCGUGCGGGCCGCGCCGCGGCUCUCGGUCUCCCUCGGUCCUCAGGACCGGCGCGCCGGCCGGAGGAUCCCCCCCUCCCCACACCGGAAGUGCUCGGCCGAGGGGCCGGGCCCGGCGGAGGCCGCGGUCGGCGGGAGGCCGCGGGGCGCACUCCCCGGCGAGGCGGAGGCCCAGCCCGCUCCCGCGCGCCGGAAGGCCUGUGCGGACGCCCGCGCCCUGCGACAUUGGGGCUUGAACAAGGAACUUGGGACAGUUCUCAUUUGUCUUUUUGGAUCAUGGCUGGUACUAAACCACUUGAGACAUAUCUGUAGUCCAGCUUCUUUUUCCCUGGCAAUUGAAGCACCCACCAAUACUGACAUUUAUUGCAAAAAAGUUACCAUCCAGAAUCAACUCCCAUCAAGCAAAUGGAUUCCUGUCAUCAUUUCCUGUUUGACACAAGUCCAUGGAUCCCAGCCAGAAAGUUCUUGGUCUUGUUCAAGAAAGAAUUCAAGGACACAGAGGAGGAAGCUUAUUAAUGUCAAGUCAAAGCAGAGCAGAAAUGCUCUCUGGAGAGGACAGUGAACAGGCUUAGGAAGGAGCUCAGCUGGAGGUCCCAAGACCUCAGGCUUCUGUUGGAGUCUGAGGACAUGGAGGUGGUCAGCACUGGGGAACCAGAUGUAUCACUCCAGAGUGACAUAUAUGUCAUCAACUCCUCCCACUUACUGGUGGGGGAAAAUCUGAGCCUUACAUGCUCAGAGACUAUCAAAGACCACGGGGUGGAAUGGGGGGCUAGUGUAAGGUUGUGCUGCUUUGAUUGCCUAUUGUCGUGCAGAAAGGUCAAGACUAUUUGAUGUUCCCAGAGGUCUUGUUUACCCACAGCACUGAAUAACAGCAUCCAUUUUGAUCUUUGCCCACCAGAGUACACAAUAGCUUGUUUUCAUUGGUCUGUCUGAUGGAAGUGGAGCACCUCUUGGGGUCAAUGUGAUUUCUUGCCUGGGAUUUGCCCAAGCCUGCUAGUCCUGUGCUGUCCUUCCUGGUGGCUUCCUUUUGGUUGGGAAGGGUCUUAGAUUUGAGGCACCCAGCCUCACAGGCAUACACAUUCAUUGUUCUUUGUCUUUUGACAUCCUGGCAUCUUUUUUUGUCCAGAAAAAGAUUGAGGGUUGUUUUUUGGUGCCAGUCCUGGGGCUUUAAUUCAGGGCCUGGAUGCUGUCUGGGGGUUUGUUUUUGC